rnacentral:rRNA from 1 species
AGAGUUUGAUCAUGGCUCAGAACAAACGCUGGCGGCGUGCUUAACACAUGCAAGUCGUACGAGAAAGUCCGCUUCGGCGGAUGAGUAAAGUGGCGCACGGGUGCGUAACACGUGGGUAAUCUGCCCUUCAGUGGGGAAUAACUCGCCGAAAGGCGGGCUAAUACCGCAUAAUACCGUUUCCACCCCGGUGGGACGGUCAAAGACAGCCUCUGUUUACAAGCUGUCGCUGAAGGAUGAGCCCGCGGCCUAUCAGCUAGUUGGUGGGGUAAUGGCUCACCAAGGCUGUGACGGGUAGCUGGUCUGAGAGGAUGGCCAGCCACACUGGAACUGAGACACGGUCCAGACUCCUACGGGAGGCAGCAGUGGGGAAUCUUGGGCAACGGGGGCAACCCUGACCCAGCGACGCCGCGUGGGUGAGGAAGGUCUUCGGAUCGUAAAGCUCUGUCGGAUGGGAAGAAAUGUGUGGAAGUGAACAGCUUCCAUGCUUGACGGUACCAUCAGAGGAAGCACCGGCUAACUCCGUGCCAGCAGCCGCGGUAAUACGGGGGGUGCAAGCGUUGUUCGGAAUCAUUGGGCGUAAAGGGCGUGUAGGCGGCUGGAUAAGUCAGAUGUGAAAUCCCUGGGCUUAACCCAGGAAGUGCAUUUGAAACUGUCCGGCUUGAGUGAGGGAGAGGAAAGUGGAAUUCCUGGUGUAGAGGUGAAAUUCGUAGAUAUCAGGAGGAACACCGGUGGCGAAGGCGACUUUCUGGCCCUAUACUGACGCUGAGACGCGAAAGCGUGGGGAGCAAACAGGAUUAGAUACCCUGUAGUCCACGCUGUAAACGAUGUUCACUAGGUGUUGGGGGUAUUGACCCCCUCAGUGCCGUAGCUAACGCAUUAAGUGAACCGCCUGGGGAGUACGGUCGCAAGACUAAAACUCAAAUGAAUUGACGG